CAACAUAGUAGGGGGAGCUUGUGUGACAGGCAGAGAGGAAGGUAGACCUUCGACCCUUGAACCUGAUGCGGAUAAUGCCGCUGUAGGGAGUCACAGAAAAUUCUACUU
rnacentral:ncRNA from 2 species